UACGAAGGGGGCUAGCGUUGUUCGGAAUUACUGGGCGUAAAGCGCACGUAGGCGGAUCGAUCAGUCAGGGGUGAAAGCCCAGGGCUCAACCCUGGAAUUGCCUUCAAUACUGGCGACCUUGAGUAUGGCAGAGGUGUGUGGAACUCCGAGUGUAGAGGUGAAAUUCGUAGAUAUUCGGAAGAACACCAGUGGCGAAGGCGACACACUGGGCCAUUACUGACGCUGAGGCACGAAAGCCAGGGGAGCGAACGGG
rnacentral:rRNA from 1 species